rnacentral:rRNA from 1 species
CCUACGGGUGGCUGCAGUGAGGAAUAUUGGUCAAUGGACGAGAGUCUGAACCAGCCAAGUAGCGUGAAGGAUGAAGGCCCUAUGGGUUGUAAACUUCAUUUAUAUGGGAAUAAAAUGUUCCACGUGUGGGAUUUUGUAUGUACCAUAUGAAUAAGGAUCGGCUAACUCCGUGCCAGCAGCCGCGGUAAUACGGAGGAACCGAGCGUUAUCCGGAUUUAGUGGGUUUAAAGGGAGCGUAGGGGGUUUGUUAAGUCCGUUGUGAAGGUUUGCGGCUCAACCGUACAAUUGCAGUUGAAACUGGCAGUCUGGAGUGCAGUAGAGGUGAGUGGAAUUCGUGGUGUAGCGGUGAAAUGCUUAUAUAUCACGAAGAACUCCGAUUGCGAAGGCAGCUCACUGGACUGCAACUGACACUGAGGCUCGAAAGUGUGGGUAUCAAACAGGAUUAGAUACCCUAGUAGUC